rnacentral:ncRNA from 1 species
AGUAUCUGCUGCAUUCAAGAGUAAAAUGCGGAACUUUUUAUCUAGUGGGGUUUGAAAGAUUAUGUCUAUUACCGCAGCGCAAAAAGCGCAAAUUGUGACUGAUUACCAACGUGUGAA